ACUAUCCAUUUUCUAGGUAAUAUAAAUGAAAUACUAUGGGACAAACUAUUAAAUUGAAUAACCAAGAACAAAAAUGGAUGGGGUUGCUUGAGUGGAAAAAGGGUGUGAAGAAAGAUAGAAGCAGGAACAUCACAAUGGACAUUAAGCUCAGGCAGCUAGUUAACGAAAACCUGAGAAAGGAUUUCUCUUCAUCAGAAAGGAUUAGGAAGAGCUGGAAGUCAAAGGGAAGAUUCAAAAAAGCUCCUAUUAUAUUAAGG